UUCUUUAUUGUUUCUCUAUCUUCUCUUUCUUCAUCUGUUUCUUCUUUUCUCCUUUGUUCUUCCUCUGUAAGAAAUCGAGUGAUGAAAUUGAGAGGUAAUCAAGAGAUUUUGAUCGAUGAGUUAGCUCAUAUGAACUAGAAGAGGUUGCUGAUGUUAACUGAACUCGGGAGAAGAAGGAGUGGUUGCAGCCGUAAGUUUAAAAUUAGGGUUCAUGCAUUUGGUUAUGAGUUUGUGUGAAAUUGAAGACGAAAUCGAAACAAGAGGAUAACGAUCAAGGUUGGGUGUUGUUAGUGAUGAUUUUGUUAUAGUUGAUUCAUAUUUACAAGACAAGUUUUGGAAGUUAGGGUUUCUUGAAGAAUUCAGGAUAUAUUUAGAAGAAGAAAUUGAUGAUCGUUUUGAAUUCGAUUGAUCUCUGGAAGUAGUUAAAAGGUAACUAAUGAGUUUUGAAUUAAGUUUAUUGUUUUAUUCGAAGUUUGUGAACCCAUAAACUUCCAGUGAAAUGAUUAAGAUGGAUAUGAGAUUGGAACUGGAGUUUUGGUUAUGCAUGUGAGAUGUGAGUUUGGUGGUAAUGGAUGUAUAGUGUGGUUUGAAAUGGAGUUGAAAUCCUAGUGGUGGUGGAGAUUUGAAUUUGGGAUUGAGACCAGUGUAGAAUGAAGUUGUGAUUAUUGAACUGGUGGUGAUUGAAUGAAUGUGCGAUGGUGGCGUCGAGUGUGGAUUUGAGUUGAGAGGAUUUGGAUAUAUCGGCUACUGCAUUUGCAGUGGAUCGUGGAUCUCGAGGUAGGCGUGGCUUGUCAUCAAAAGAAGUGGGAAUACUUUUGACUCUCUUGUAACCAUUGAUGUUUUCUUUUACAAAGAUUUAUGUUUAUCAAAUUCAUGAAUUGUCUAGUUGUGCAUUCCAUGCUUUGUUUAAAUUGAUUACGAUAAUUCUGUUGUUUAAGUUAAUCUUUCCAUGGUUUGGAAAGGACUUGUAAUGCUUUGUUGUCAAUAUGAAUUGUUACGGGAAAUGAGAAUUUCCACUUGUGGUA